rnacentral:rRNA from 1 species
UACUUAGGAGGCAAGCGUUGUCCGGAAUUAUUGGGCGUAAAGGGUACGCAGGCGGUUUAAGAAGUGAGUUGUGAAAGCGUGAGGCUCAACCUCAUACAGCAAUCCAAACUCUUAAACUUGAGUAGUGGAGAGGAAAGUGGAAUUCUUAGUGUAGCGGUGAAAUGCGUAGAUAUUAAGAGGAACACCAGUGGCGAAGGCGACUUUCUGGACACUAACUGACGCUGAGGUACGAAAGCGUGGGGAGCAAACAGG